GCCCGGUUAGCUCAGUCGGUAGAGCGUUCGGCUUUUAUCAGAGAGCACCGAAAUGUCGGGGGUUCGAGCCCCCCAUUGGGCG
rnacentral:tRNA from 1 species